rnacentral:misc_RNA from 1 species
AAGGUCAAGGUAAAAAAAGCCGCAAGGCUUGAGAGGAGGGGUGAGAAAAAAUUGUAUAAAAGGCGAGAGAAAAGUUGAUUGGGAUCAGUCGAGUGAGUGUCUCCGACAUGUCAACAGCUGCAUUCUUCGUCGUGAUAUCAGUUCGCAAUUAUGGUUAAUUAUGGUGUUGUGUUGCUGUUGGGUGUUGUAUCGUUGAUGUCGACCUCGAGAGAAAAUCUUUUAAAAGGAAAGAAAAAGGGCAACGGAAGUCAAUCGAGUGAGCAUCUCCGACCCGGCAGCAGCUGCAUUCUUCGUCGUAUUAUCAGGUGACAAUCACGGUCUGGUUAAUUAUGCUGUCGUGCUGCUAUUGGUUGUUGUAUCGUCGAUGGCUGGGUCGACCACUGGUGUACCGAUGUCUCCUGGAUAAGGUGGAUACCAAACCGCAACACCGCCGCCUUACUACACAACAACAUACUCAAAGACCAGUUACUACACCGAGGUUGCACUGUUGGGUUUAGCCUACAGUUAAACCACCAAGGAUCCAGAUUAUUACACCAUAACUUGUGCUGCUCCCCAAGCUACACCACCAAAGCGCUAGAGUACUACACCGAGGCUCCCAAGUACUACACCACCAUGGCAUCUGAGACUACACAAAUACGUAUGCUGCCCCAACCUACGACACCGAGGCUCCAGCUUAUUACACCACCAAAGCUGUUGAAUACUACACUGGAGCGCCCAAGUACGAUAGAAGUCAGUCGAUUGAGCCGAACUUGGCGGUGGCCGUACCAUCACCUACGACAAGUGCGUUAUUGCCACAGGUGGUAAACAAAAAUCUUUUCCAAUCCCUGAGCGGUGCCCUUAAAGAUGUCCACGAGCACGUCACGCUGUCCCGCAACAUCGAUGGCGCUAACACAUGCCGAGUCCUCUAAAUGUUUAACCAAUGGACAACCGAGAAGGUGAAAGCGGAAAGUGUUAAUGUGUUGCCCAAAACUUAUGUUGAGGCUGCAAUUAUGGAAGACGACGAGGUUGCAUUGACCUUAUACGAUGGUCAAAAGAUUUAAACUGACCAUGUCGUCUCGGUUGUCGGUUGGGACGCAACAACGGAUUUGGCUGUCGCUUCUGGUUUGGAAAUAGAUUCAAAUUUUGGUGGUUAUCGAGUCAAUACCGAUCUCGAAGCACGAUCGACCGUCUGGCUGGCUGGAGAUGCUGCCUUCUUUUGUAAUAGCAAAUUGGGUCGUCGUCGUAUGGAACAUCAUCAUUUUGCUGUUGUAUUAGGGUGAUUGGCUGGAGAGAACAAUACUGGCAAGGAAACAUGGAUGAACAACUGCAGUGUACUCUUCCCAACUGCAUUCUUCGUCGUAUUAUCAGUACGCAAUCGGUUGAUGAUGGUGUGGUGCUGUUGCCGUUUGUCGUAUCGUUGAAGGCUGGGUCGAUCACUGGUGUACAAUGUCUCCUGGGUAUGGUGGAUACCAAAGCACCACACCGCCGCCUUACUACACAACGACAACAUUCGCACCAACCGGUUACUACACUGAGGCCCACAAUUACUACAUCACCAAGGUUCCAGAAUAUUACACCGCAGCUAACACUGCCCCAAGCUACAUCAUCAAAGAUCCUGAGUACUACACUCAGGCUCCCAAGUACUACACCACCAAGUCACCGGAGUACUACACGUAUGUUGCCCCAGCUUACUAUGUACACCGAGAUUCCCAAGAAUUAUAUAGUUCCUAGCUACUACACCGAGGCUCCAACUUAUUACUCCAUCAAAGCGGCUGAAUACUACACCGAGUCGCCCAAUUACUACACCAACAAGACUCCAGAUUAUUACACCACAACUUAUGCUUCACCGAGCCACUGAACUAUAGUAAUCAACUUUAUUUACAGGGCAAGAUUCGAAAGAAAUGUACUGUGGUGUUAACUAAAAAUUUUCGAUGUUAAUAGUUCUGUUUUUAACUUAAGUUGGGGCAAAGAAGGUGUUGUAGAUAAUGUUUGGUUUGUCACAGCAAUUUAUUUGAAAAAUCUGGAAAUGAUCAGUCACAAAAAUAUACAAGUCAAAUGCUAAAUA